UAGUCGCGAUAAUAGAAAGAGCUAUAACACACUAGAGAAAUCUUAGCAAAUUAGGGUUUUUCUAUCUUCGAGGGUAACUCCCCUAGAAAUGAGAGAAUGGAGAGGAAGCGAAAGAAAUUAGGAAAAGACAAUAAGACCCCGAGUUGGUGAUGCUUGACCUGAUUCACCCUUCUCCACUUCAGUUGAACUUGACUCUUCCAAGCACACUGAUAGAACCCACCUUCCUUGAUAAUUGCCCUACAUUUCAAAAUUGAGCUUGAGAAAACCCUUGGUCUGGUGAGCCAUGUUACAACUCCUUCCUCCUUCAAAACACCUUGCCUGCAAGGUGAGAGAAGUCUUCUUUGAGCUUUGAAUACGUCUCUCAAUUGGCUUCAUUUGCUUCUUGCCCCUGCCAAUGCACCAAGUGCUCGGCUUUGGCUAAGUUUCCAAAUUUCACCAUACAACGAGAUCUCUUCUAGCUUGGUCAACGGACUCCAUCAUCAUCAACUGGUGGCAGAUAUAGAACAGCGGUGGUGGAAGACCCUAGUUUCUUUUUUAGCAAUGAAACAUGAAAAGUGGGGUGGAUUCGAGUGAAGGAUGGCAGUUCCAAGCGGUUGUGCUGGAGCAGAUGAGAGAUAUUGUCACGGUUCUAGAGGUGUUCUUCAACAGUGGCUACCUUAGCAAUGCUAGGUCGCCCUUGCCCAAUAAUCUGCAACAAGGAGACAGAAGCAGCUGUUCAUUUCCAGCAUUCAAGUGGUAUAGUAGAUCAUGCAAGUUCAGUCCAACUAGAUGUAGUAGAGGUCACCACUGGCUUAAUAAGAAAACAAUCGCUGAUGUGGUUAAAGCUCUUGUUGGAGUGUUCAUAGUUGAUAGUGGCUUCAGAGCUGCAAUUGCAUUUCUUCGCUGGAUUGGCAUAUAGGUAGAUUUUGAAGCCUCACAAGUUUGUAAGGCCUGCAUAGCAAGCCCCAGCUACAUCCUGCUUGCUACUUCUUUGGACAUUCCUUCCCUUGAAAAUUUGUUAGGGUAUCAGUUUCUCCAUAGAGGUCUGCUUAUACAGGCAUUUGUACAUCCUUCGCACAACAAGAAUGGAGGAGGCUGCUAUCAGAUUUGAGAUGUGUUUGUGAAUAAUGAGGCGUUUGCCAAUCUUGCGGUGGAACGAUCCUUCCACAAAUUUCUUUUAUGUGAUUCCAGUAGCCUUACUGAGGCAAUUGAAAUGUAUGUGGAUGCUGUUAAAAUGCAAGCACCUGAAGGGAGUCUUCUUGAGGGGCCAAAAUGUCCAAAGGCUAUGGGUGACUUGGUAGAGUCUUAUAUGGGUGCCAUUCUUCUUGAUUCAGGGUUUAAUCUAGAGCUUGUGUGGACGAUAAUCAUGCUUUCCUUUUUGGAUCCAAUCAUGAGGUUCUCCAGUUUGCAAAUUAGUCAUUUCAGGGAACUGCAAGAACUUUGCCAAUCUUA